UGGGGAUGAAAAAAUAGGAUUAGUGCUGUUCAAACUGUCUUUAACAGAUCGGAUACAGGUCACAUAUGGGCAAAAAAAUCGGAUUUGGGCCACAUCUACCUGCAGCCUGAACGUAGCCUUAAAGUCUGAUUUAUGCUGAUGAUUUACAGAAAAGUGA